rnacentral:rRNA from 1 species
UACGGGGGGAGCAAGCGUUGUUCGGAUUUACUGGGCGUAAAGGGCGGGUAGGCGGCCACCGCAAGUCAGUUGUGAAAUCUCCGGGCUUAACCCGGAAAGGUCAACUGAUACUGCGGGGCUAGAGUGCAGAAGGGGCAACUGGAAUUCUCGGUGUAGCGGUGAAAUGCGUAGAUAUCGAGAGGAACACCUGCGGCGAAGGCGGGUUGCUGGGCUGAUACUGACGCUGAGGCGCGAAAGCUAGGGGAGCGAACGGG